GAAAACCUGGAAUGUUCGACAAAUUCCGUAUUUUUGAACCUACAGAACUUUAAACGGGAUUCCUAUAUCUCUGUAAUAUGUCAGGCCUCCUUUUUUGCAGGGGAAGACAGAAAAGCAGAUGCGGUCGCCCACCUGGCUGCGGCUAGGAGUCAAAAAACGGAAACCGGCAUCCCGGGGAAUUA
rnacentral:other from 1 species